rnacentral:misc_RNA from 1 species
AACGCACGAGACCUGCGGACCUGCGGAGGGAUCAUUACUGAAUUGAUUUUGGGGAUGUUGCUGGUCUCUUGAGGCAAUGGUGCACUCCCUCAAACAUUUCACAAUUUCCAUCUUACCCAUGUGCACAUCCUGUAGGUGGUCUCCCAACCCACCCUCCAAGGAAAGGGGGGGAGUGUGUGGGUCUGGUCUCCUAUGUAUUUCCUUGCCAACAUCACACGUUUUGACUGAUUGAAUCCUGUG